rnacentral:rRNA from 1 species
AUUGAACGCUGGCGGCAGGCCUAACACAUGCAAGUCUAACGAGUGGCGGACGGGUGAGUAAUGUCUGGGCAACUGCCUGCUGUAGGGGGAUAACUACUGGAAACGGUAGCUAAUACCGCAUACCCUCGUAUGUGCCCAGAUGGGAUUAGCUAGUAGGUGGGGUAACGGCGCACCUGGGCUACGAUCCCUAGCUGGUCUGAGAGGAUGACCAGCAACACGGGAACUGAGAAACGGUCCAGACUCCUACGGGAGGCAGCAGUGGGGAAGAUUGCACAAUGGGCGCAAGCCUGAUGCAGCCAUGCCGCGUGUGUGAAGAAGGCCUUCGGGUUGUAAAGCACUGUCAGCGGGGAGGCGUUACCCGCAGAAGAAGCACCGGCUAACUCCGUGCCAGCAGCCGCGGUAAUAC